UAUCGAACGUGGAACGGAACGCACGUGUUACUCUUCGCUCCUCUCGAAGAGAGGCGGAUGUUGUUCCAUUAUUCCGAGUCAAAAGCACUGUCAACCGAUACAGUGGAAAGAAAAUGGUAAACGAGCGAUGGAGGUAUGGUGGUAAAAUUACAGUUUCCAGGAAGGUCGAAGAUCUGCGCUAAUUCUACGAUAGAAAGUUCUUGCUUGCGUCAGUUCCGGAUGCUGUAAAAGCAGAAACAUCCACCACGCACACGUACACGUACACACACAUAGAGGGAGCGGUGUUUAUAUAUAACGAGGAUUGUAUCACCGAUCCCUGGGUCAUCCGUAUACGGAGGAAUAUUACUGCCAUUAAUCAACGACAGACCGUCGCGGAGGUGACGACAGUCUGACAGUUCUUUUCUGCUCCACUCGCCUCUGGAUUUUGCCUCGGAUACCUCGCAGGGAUCCAGGGAUGGUGGCUGCACUUUGCAAGGAAUGCCACGUGUUCCACGUGUGAAAGAGGCGAAGGAUUCUCGAAAAAAGAGGAAAAAAAGGAAAAGAAGAAAUCGUAUCGUGGCAUUGUAUCGUGCCACGCUGGAUAUCUCAAAAUGGGAAUAAAACUGUCAUCCUUCUCGAUGGA